AUUUAUUUACUCAGAGAGAGAGAGAGAGAGAGAGAAAGGGGCAGAGGAAGAAGCAGGCUCCAUGCAGGGAGCCCGAUGUGGGACUCGAUCCCGGGACCCCGGGGUCACGGCCUGGGCGGAAGGCGGCGCUAAACCGCUGAGCCACCCGGGCUGCCCCCUUUAUCUUAUUUAAGCCAUUGUUAUUUUGACAUUUUGCUACUCACAGUUAAAGCUAAUACUAAGUGACCUGAAGUACUGCUGCAGGCGUGCAGGGGCUCGACGUCUUCAGACAGAGGGCCGUCUUACAGAUUUUACAUGUGGGUGCACAGGUCUGUGUAUUUAUACUCUCAUCAUUAUAGCGGGAAGCCCUGUACAGAGCACACAUCUGCUGGCACUUCAAAAUUUCAUGCAGGGAACCUAAAACUAAGGGGUCAGAAGCCAGGGCAGAAAACUGGCCACAUAUAAAGUGCAUUAAAAGCCAGUGACCUGGGGCACGUUGGCGGCUCAGUCGGUUGAGCGUCUGCCUUCCGCUCGGGUCCUGACUCCAGGGUCCUGGGAUCGAGCCCCGUGUUGGACUCCCCGCUCAGUGGGGAGCCUGCGUCUCCCUCUGCCCCUAUGCUGCUCAUGCUCUGUCUCUGUCUCCCUCAAAUACAUAAAUUAAAAAAUGGCAGUGAUCUUUAGGACUCUACUCGGUGUGGGAGCCAAUCCUUAAGAGCAGUUGGGCUGAGUUGGGGUGAUGAUAGGAGCCAGCAAUUGGCUUGUAGAGAGUAACAGGUGAAAGGAAUUGUAGAAAGUGUUUUUAAAAGAAUAUCUUGAAAAAUAAUUAAUGAAUUUAACUUUUUAAUGUAAGCAAAAUAUCUACUUAGGAAAAGACAGUGUCACACCGUGCCAUCUAGGGAUACACACACUUGCUCAUUAUUUUGUUUUAAGGUUUUAUUUAUUUAUUCAUGAUAGACAUAGAGAGAGAGAGAGGCAGAGACACAGGCGGAGGGAGAAGCAGGCUCCAUGCAGGGAGCCCGACGCAGGACUCGAUCCUGGGACUCCAGGAUCGCGCCCUGGACCAAAGGCAGGAGCUAAACCGCUGAGCCACCCGGGGAUCCCCUUGCUCGUUAUUCUGAAUAAAAGAUACAAGUCUGCCUGUGUCUCUGCGCCUCUCUCUCUCUCUCUCUCUGUGACUAUCAUAAGUAAAUAAAAAUAAUAAAAUAAAAAAAAUUGUUAAAAGAUACAAGUAAAUGUGUAACACGCACUCGGAGUGUAACGAUCGGCAUGUUACCUGCUAACACGACAUUGUGUCAUUAUACUACGGCAAAGGAGCAAGCUCCCCAGAGACUGCCCUUAGCGCUGGGCGGGGGGCUGUCUCCGUACCACCCUCCAUCCAAGUGACCUGGCACAUUAGUCUGUUUCCAGUAACAAACUGAAUUGCUGACAAAAAAAACCCAAAAAAACAAAAGUGAGGUCUCUCUUUCAAUUUAUUUUGUGACUUUUAUGUUUUUCUUUCCUGAUAAUUGUUAGGUUGACUGCAUUGUAUGUGAAUAAUAAAAGGAUUCGUAGCUAUGUGUUACUGAGCAUCUAUCUACAUGUUAGAGAUGUACAUAAUUCUUGCAUUUGCUUCUUAGAAUAUUCCUGAGAGACGGCAUAAAUCAUUUUACCAGAUGAAGAAACUGGGAAUCAAAGAGGUUACGUGGCUUAGUAUCCAAUCUAAGAUCACAUUGUAAGUAGCAGUGAACCAGGUCCACUUACUCUAAAACCCACGUUCUUCCCCUUGUACCAAUGGUCACUCUUUCUUUGGUAGCAAGGUAUGUCAUGUUUUAUUUGUGGUUCACUUUGGCCUGUUGAAACCCAGUGGUGGACAAGAAUUUUCCCCUAGAGAUGUUUUAUUUAUUUAUUUAUUUAUUUAUUUAUUUAUUUAUUUACUUACUUAUUAUUUUAUUUAUUUAUUUAUUCAUGAGAGACACAGAGACAGAGAGAGGCAGAGACACAGGCAGAGGGAGAAGCAGGCUCCAUGCAGGGAGCCCAAAGUGGGACUCAAUCCCAGGUGUCCAGAUCAGGCCCUGGGCUGAAGGUGGCGCUAAACCGCUGAGCCACCAGGGCUGCCCUAGACAUGUUAUUUUUAAUGGAAUUCAAAUCAGUUAUUGAAGAUACAGUAGCAUAUGAUUGCAUGAAAGAAGGGAUAAAUCAGUAGUUACAAUAUAGAUGUGAGAAAUAAAACAAUAAAAUGUAAAUGAGUAACUUACAGAUAGGACCUUGAAAAUAAAACCAUCAUUAUUAAAUAUUUACUAAUUGCUUUUAAUAGUGACGUAAAUGCCUUACUGAACUAUCAUUUUGUUAUAAUAUUCCCUAAGUUGCAAGUUAAGGUAUUUUGUUCUCAAAUUUAAAAGUAUUGUCCCAUUGGAAAAAUUGUAUUAUAGGGAUGCCUGGGCGCCUCAGCGGUUGAAAGUCUGCCUUCAGCUCAGGUUGUGACCCCAGGGUCCGGGAUCGAGUCCCACAUCGGGCUCCCCGCAAGAAGCCUGCUUCUCCCUCUGCCUGUGUUUCUUGUGAAUAAAUAAAAUCUUUUUUAAAAAAUUGUAUUAUAGAGAGGUCUAUUACAAAUUGUGAAUAUUUUACCUUUUUUUCAUAAAACCAGAUAUGUAUUUCCAUGGAUAACACAUCUCAAUUCAGAAUAGACACAUUUCACAGGCUCAAUAGCCACCCGAGGCUAGCAGAUAUCAUUUGGGAAUUGUAAGCCUAGAUUACCUAUAGAGUAUGAUUCUCAAAAUAAUCUGGAUAAUGAAAUUAUAAUCUAUUAGAAUUUAUUUUUGAAAAACAACUUCUCACAUGUAGGACCUUGCUUGUGAUAGAUUAGUAUGAUAAAUUGAUAGAAAUAUUUAUCCUGGGGGAGAAAUAACAUCAAAGCUACCAAUUUCUCACUGUAAUGGAACUCUUCUUGGAUCCCAAGGUUAAUAAUACAUUACCUCUCUCUGGCUUGUCAUUAUUUUGCCUACUUCUCUGCUCUAGGACUUGGUAUAUCAGUCUAACUGCAUGAUGAGCUUGCCCCUGCAGCAAGCUGUCCUAACACACCAAAGGCUCCACGGGCAUAGCUGGGCUCAUUGGAAGGGCUGAGGUUGGUAGGCCAGCCUGGCAUGGAACUCUGUGCUCGCUGAGAUACUUGGCUCGAGGCAGACGCAUCUACACAGCACUGAAUCUCCAGUACUGAUCCCCAAACCCAGUUGAAAGGGCUUAGCUUUCACCGUAGAGAGAGGUGGCCAGGUUCCCUCAGAUUCCAGCUGCUGGGAGCUCUCUCAGUCCAGCCCCACUAUUGAAACGAUGCUAUAGUGGAGGAAAAGCAACUUGGCUUCCCAGAGAUUGCUCUCACCGCUGUGCAGCGGAAGCUUUUUACCACCCUCCAUCCAGGGCUGGCAGAUUGAGCUCUCCCCCGUCUCCUGUAAAAUAUGCUGGCUCAUUCAUCAGACACCGACCCUCAUGGCCAACGGGCUACUCUGGCACAUCCCCUCUAUCACUACCUCCACCCCCUCUGUCCCAUCCCUGUCAGGGGAGUUGUAUGUUUGCCAAGUCUUGUGGACUCCUUUCCAAAACUAUAUAUUCUGAGCAUACUUGAAAUAGAUUAGUUACACAUAAAAUGAUGGAAUAUGAUUUUGAAAACAAAGAAUUAAAGGCUUUGGAAAGGGUUCCUAAAGAGGAGUCUUUUCUUUUUUGAAGACUUUAUUUUUUUCAAAUCAUCUCUAGACCUGGCGUGGGGCUCAAACUUACAACCCAAAGAUCAAGAGUCACAUCCCCCACCGACCAAGCCAGCCAGGUGUCCUCAUAAAGAUUUAUCAAUGAGAGAGGGAGAAAGGGGCAGAAGGAGAAGCAAGCACUCCCUGCAGGGAGCCUGAUCCCAGGACCCCGGGGUCAUGCCCUGGGCCGAAGGGAACAUGGAGGUACAUCAAUGGAGCAUCUGGCCUGCAGGAAACUAAUUAAAGAAGACUUAAAAUUUGGUACUAAAAAGAAACUUUUAUUUAAUCCAACUCCUUUUACAGAGAUUCUGAGACCAGAGAACUGAUGAGGUGAACAAGUUUUCUUUGCUCAAGAGCACACAGUAUUUCAUAGAUAGAUAGGGCCACUCUAGAUUCUCAGGCAAGGCCUCUGGGCUUCCCAGGAGGCUCAUGAAUGGGUUUAAAACUUGGACCUAAAAUUGUCCAUACCGCUGUGUAAUGUGCAUCUUUCUGAGAACAUCUGUAACUUCUGCUAGAUUCUCAAAGGGCCAUGCAACUUCCCCAAAGGUCAUCAAAUAUUAUUUUAAAUGCUAUAGAUUUAUAUCUAAAAUAAUACGCAUAGACUUGCUAAAUAAUUCCAAGAUACUAAUAAUUCCAAGUUAAUUCUCCAACUUAAAUGGCGUGAUAUUCUCAGGUACUGAAUGAAGCUUAACAUUCAAAUGUUAUUUACAUGAAAGGCUCCCAAACCCUCAUUUAUUCCAUGAUGUUGUUGAAAAUUAGAAUACCAUAUGAUGAUUAAGUCAUAAAAAUACAGUAAAAUUCAUAU